UGUAUUUACAAUAGAAAAAGUAUGUUUAAGAACAAGACAAUACUUCUGUAAUUUAGUAUACAAAAUUUAAAAAUCAGAGAGCUACAAGAAUUAUUUUAAAUUUAUUUAGGAAUAUCUAUGUACUGCCUAAUAUAGGCAUAUAUAAACAUCUAAUAUAUUAUAGAAUCUAUAUUUAUAUUGCAUAGCUAGCUAGCUUUUCUGCCAGUGCACUCCUUAGGGACUGGGCUGCCUACAUUGAGCCGCACUGUUGCUGCAGCCACACACUGCCACUCCCACUGCCACGCCCACCGCCACCCACAGGCGCACAAAGAGCCAGCUACUAAACUCGCCUUUAUUUCUGUGCGCUCUACCCUGGCCACCCUGUACUUGACUUGUCAAACACAAAAAGGAAAACUGCCGAGGAAGCGGGGGGUGGGGAGUGGGGAGUGGGAAAGGGUGUGGGAAAGUCCGGACCUUUUUAUUCUGGGUCGCAAAUGAACGCUGCAUGUGCUUUCCACGCUCCUGCGAACAACGAAAUGCGAAAUAUGUGGAAUGUGGCGGUACGAGGGGAAUCGCUUUGUUUUAGCAAAGAGGCCGCUUCGCAUUGCCACAUAAUCAAUAAGGAACAGAUUUUCAAGUUUGGAACUGCAUUGUUGUCAGCCGAAAACUUGAUUAGCCACAAAGCCACCAGCUCAGAGCUAAAGUUGAAAAGCAGCGUAUUUGCACUUCCCGCCUUCAACGAGGUGGUCCAGAGUUCGGCGCUGCCCGGUGCCAAGUGUUUGCCCUGAGUUUCCGAGCAAGUGGAGGGCGUCUGGAGCACUGGGCACUCCAAGCUAGUGGGCUUCCAGUGAGCUGGCAGUGCUACUGUUGUCUAGCUGGGUUGGAUGUGAUAAGCAACGAGCGGAAAACAAUCGCCAGUCAGCGGGACAAAUUCGCUUAAAAGUUUACAGCUCAGCGGCGCAAAGCUGCUGGCACAACACGGCGUAUACGCAACAUCGGACUUUCAGCCAUUUUAGCCGCAUCAGCACUUUCCAUCACUUUCCAUCGCUUUCGGUGGCUGCCCAAUGGAACGUGACAGUUUGGCCAUUUUUCAAGUUCAGCGACACUGCGGGCGAAUCUCAUUUUUUGCGAUUAUUGCAGAAAACGCAAUUUUAACGGACAUCGGUCACAAUAACUGCUGAACAUUAUUCAAGCCGAAAAAAACGGCGCACAACUUUCCGUUGGUCGUGCAAUUUUUCAAGUAUUUUUCAAAUAUUUGCUCGAACGAUUAGUUUCGGGGGCGUGAAACGAUCUGCCAAUUAUGGUGAACAUUCUUUUGAAGAUUGUUUGCCUUUCAUUAAGACUGCAACACUUGCACUUCACUUGCCAGUUUCCAGUUGCCAGUUGCUAGACCAAACUAGAACUAAAACCAGAAGCAAAACCAGAAACAGAACCAGAACCAACUUACUAAUUUGUCUGUGGCAUAUGCUUUGUUUUGCCUAUUUGCAGUCAUUAUUUGUAAUCAUUUCUCGGCAGACAAGCUGCCGGCAAUUGAUUUCUGCCCGCCUGGCUGUUUGUUUAAUAGCUUUCGAUGCAUCCACUCGGGAGAAUGGGAUGCAUCUUGGUUUCCUGCGCUACUGGAGCACGCUAUUGACUGGGCUGAUGAAGUGUUCUGCCAGUGCACUGGGAGAAAGAAGUACUUACAACUUGAUAGCGCUUCUUCAAGUAAUGUAAUGAAACUAGAUAUGCCGCAGAAAUCGAUGAACACACUGCCACUAAGCACACUUUUAGGCGGCGCACCCAAGGAUUCACAAGGAUUCCUUUCACUUUCUGUGCUCGCUGGAAUGCGGAUGCGCUAUUCUUGGCGUACAAAUAUUUCUGUGCCCGUACCUUUUCCAUUUCCAUUUCGAGAAUAAACACAAGUGAAUUUUUUCCAUUCCUGCUGGCUCAGUAGUAGCAAAAGUAUGAAAGCUAGCAGAGUAAUAAAAACGCCUCUAAGGAGCGAAAAAGUUGCUACUCG